GGCUGGUCAGAGUGCAUUGGCAUUUAACUAAUUGAUCAUUAGUUACAGAUUUCCUUGUUCCCUUCCCUACUCCCAUUGCUUCACUUGACCAAUCCCCC
rnacentral:Y_RNA from 1 species